GGGGGGGGGGGGGGGGGGGGGGGGGGGGGGGGGGGCGGGGGGGGGGGGGCAGGGGGCGGGGGGGAGGAGGGGCGAACGGGUGAGUAACACGUGAGUAACCUGCCCUUAACUCUGGGAUAAGCCUGGGAAACUGGGUCUAAUACCGGAUAGGAGCGUCCACCGCAUGGUGGGUGUGGGACAGAUUUAUCGGUUUUGGAUGGACUCGCGGCCUAUCAGCUUGUUGGUGAGGUAAUGGCUCACCAAGGCGACGACGGGUAGCCGGCCUGAGAGGGUGACCGGCCACACUGGGACUGAGACACGGCCCAGACUCCUACGGGAGGCAGCAGUGGGGAAUAUUGCACAAUGGGCGCAAGCCUGAUGCAGCGACGCCGCGUGAGGGAUGACGGCCUUCGGGUUGUAAACCUCUUUCAGUAGGGAAGAAGCGAAAGUGACGGUACCUGCAGAAGAAGCACCGGCUAACUACGUG
rnacentral:rRNA from 1 species